rnacentral:rRNA from 1 species
AUUGAACGCUGGCGGCAGGCCUAACACAUGCAAGUCGAGCGGAGAGGCGGCCGGGUGAGUAAUGCCUAGGAAUCGGCCUGGUAGUGGAGGAUAACGUCCGGAAACGGGCGCUAAUACCGCAUACUAUCAGAUGAGCCUAGGGGGGAUUAGCUAGGUGGUGGGGUAAAGGCCUUCAAAGGCGACGAUCCGUAACUGGUCUGAGAGGAUGAUCAGUCACACGGGAACUGAGAAACGGUCCAGACUCCGACGGGGGGAAGCAGUGGGGAAUAUUGGACAAUGGGCGAAAGCCUGAUCCAGCACUGCCGCGUGUGUGAAGAAGGUCUUCGGAUUGUAAAGCACUUUAAGUUGUGAUGCGUUACCAACAGAAUAAGCACCGGCUAACUUCGUGCCAGCAGCCGCGGUAAUUC